CUGUUACCCUUCCCUGGUAAACAGGUAUCAGCUGAUUGUGUUAGCUCAUCUCGAUAGUAAAUCAUUGUGGGCUGAUAACUCCCACACCAUAUUGCUGAUGGAAUGUAAGGAAAGCAGUGGACCAGUUGCCAAGGGUGUCAGUAUUCUUAUUCUUCCUUGCCAUUUGAUCUAUUAAAAAAUCAUCCCCUUUGACAUAAAAGAAUAGAAUUACAGUAUAGUGAAUGUCAUUUUAUGUUCUG
rnacentral:lncRNA from 1 species